GAUGAACGCUGGCGGCGUGCCUAAUACAUGCAAGUCGAGCGAACGGACGAGAAGCUUGCUUCUCUGAUGUUAGCGGCGGACGGGUGAGUAACACGUGGAUAACCUACCUAUAAGACUGGGAUAACUUCGGGAAACCGGAGCUAAUACCGGAUAAUAUUUUGAACCGCAUGGUUCAAAAGUGAAAGACGGUCUUGCUGUCACUUAUAGAUGGAUCCGCGCUGCAUUAGCUAGUUGGUAAGGUAACGGCUUACCAAGGCAACGAUGCAUAGCCGACCUGAGAGGGUGAUCGGCCACACUGGAACUGAGACACGGUCCAGACUCCUACGGGAGGCAGCAGUAGGGAAUCUUCCGCAAUGGGCGAAAGCCUGACGGAGCAACGCCGCGUGAGUGAUGAAGGUCUUCGGAUCGUAAAACUCUGUUAUUAGGGAAGAACAUAUGUGUAAGUAACUGUGCACAUCUUGACGGUACCUAAUCAGAAAGCCACGGCUAACUACGUGCCAGCAGCCGCGGUAAUACGUAGGUGGCAAGCGUUAUCCGGAAUUAUUGGGCGUAAAGCGCGCGUAGGCGGUUUUUUAAGUCUGAUGUGAAAGCCCACGGCUCAACCGUGGAGGGUCAUUGGAAACUGGAAAACUUGAGUGCAGAAGAGGAAAGUGGAAUUCCAUGUGUAGCGGUGAAAUGCGCAGAGAUAUGGAGGAACACCAGUGGCGAAGGCGACUUUCUGGUCUGUAACUGACGCUGAUGUGCGAAAGCGUGGGGAUCAAACAGGAUUAGAUACCCUGGUAGUCCACGCCGUAAACGAUGAGUGCUAAGUGUUAGGGGGUUUCCGCCCCUUAGUGCUGCAGCUAACGCAUUAAGCACUCCGCCUGGGGAGUACGACCGCAAGGUUGAAACUCAAAGGAAUUGACGGGGACCCGCACAAGCGGUGGAGCAUGUGGUUUAAUUCGAAGCAACGCGAAGAACCUUACCAAAUCUUGACAUCCUUUGACAACUCUAGAGAUAGAGCCUUCCCCUUCGGGGGACAAAGUGACAGGUGGUGCAUGGUUGUCGUCAGCUCGUGUCGUGAGAUGUUGGGUUAAGUCCCGUAACGAGCGCAACCCUUAUUGUUAGUUGCCAGCAUUGAGUUGGGCACUCUAGCAAGACUGCCGGUGAUAAACCGGAGGAAGGCGGGGAUGACGUCAAAUCAUCAUGCCCCUUAUGAGCUGGGCUACACACGUGCUACAAUGGAUGGUACAACGAGUGGCGAGACCGCGAGGUUUAGCUAAUCUCCCAAAGCCAUUCUCAGUUCGGAUUGCAGGCUGCAACUCGCCUGCAUGAAGUCGGAAUCGCUAGUAAUCGCGGAUCAGAAUGCCGCGGUGAAUUCGUUCCCGGGUCU
rnacentral:rRNA from 1 species